rnacentral:rRNA from 1 species
GCCCAAGAGAUCGGGAUAACACCUGGAAACAGAUGCUAAUACCGGAUGACAACAGAUGAUGCCUAUCAACUGUUUAAAAGAUGGUUCUGCUAUCACUCUUGGAUGGACCUGCGGUGCAUUAGCUAGUUGGUAGGGUAACGGCCUACCAAGGCGAUGAUGCAUAGCCGAGUUGAGAGACUGAUCGGCCACAUUGGGACUGAGACACGGCCCAAACUCCUACGGGAGGCAGCAGCC